UGAAGUUGCACACUGCCAGAUGGAAGCC
rnacentral:piRNA from 1 species